rnacentral:rRNA from 1 species
AGAGUUUGAUCCUGGCUCAGGACGAACGCUGGCGGCGUGCUUAACACAUGCAAGUCGAACGGUAAGGCCCUUCGGGGUACACGAGUGGCGAACGGGUGAGUAACACGUGAGUAACCUACCCUUGACUCUGGGAUAACAGGCGGAAACGUCUGCUAAUACCGGAUACGAACCUUGGAGGCAUCUCUUAGGUUGGAAAGCUCCGGCGGUCAUGGAUGGACUCGCGGCCUAUCAGCUUGUUGGUGAGGUAACGGCUCACCAAGGCUUCGACGGGUAGCCGGCCUGAGAGGGCGACCGGCCACAUUGGGACUGAGAUACGGCCCAAACUCCUACGGGAGGCAGCAGUGGGGAAUAUUGCACAAUGGGCGCAAGCCUGAUGCAGCAACGCCGCGUGCGGGAUGACGGCCUUCGGGUUGUAAACCGCUUUCAGCAGGGACGAAGUGAAAAUGACGGUACCUGCAGAAGAAGCACCGGCUAACUACGUGCCAGCAGCCGCGGUGAUACGUAGGGUGCUAGCGUUGUCCGGAAUUAUUGGGCGUAAAGAGCUUGUAGGCUGUUAGUCGCGUCGAUAGUGAAAACUCAGGGCUCAACCCUGAGCCUGCUGUCGAUACGGGCUGACUUGAGGAAGGUAGGGGAGAAUGGAAUUCCCGGUGGAGCGGUGGAAUGCGCAGAUAUCGGGAGGAACACCAGUGGCGAAGGCGGUUCUCUGGACCUUUCCUGACGCUGAGAAGCGAAAGCGUGGGGAGCAAACAGGCUUAGAUACCCUGGUAGUCCACGCCGUAAACGGUGGGUACUAGGUGUGGGUCACAUUCCACGUGAUCUGUGCCGUAGCUAACGCAUUAAGUACCCCGCCUGGGGAGUACGGCCGCAAGGCUAAAACUCAAAGGAAUUGACGGGGCC